rnacentral:rRNA from 1 species
AAAUUGAAGAGUUUGAUCAUGGCUCAGAUUGAACGCUGGCGGCAGGCCUAACACAUGCAAGUCGAGCGGUAGCACAGAGAGCUUGCUCUCGGGUGACGAGCGGCGGACGGGUGAGUAAUGUCUGGGAAACUGCCUGAUGGAGGGGGAUAACUACUGGAAACGGUAGCUAAUACCGCAUAACGUCGCAAGACCAAAGUGGGGGACCUUCGGGCCUCAUGCCAUCAGAUGUGCCCAGAUGGGAUUAGCUGGUAGGUGGGGUAACGGCUCACCUAGGCGACGAUCCCUAGCUGGUCUGAGAGGAUGACCAGCCACACUGGAACUGAGACACGGUCCAGACUCCUACGGGAGGCAGCAGUGGGGAAUAUUGCACAAUGGGCGCAAGCCUGAUGCAGCCAUGCCGCGUGUGUGAAGAAGGCCUUCGGGUUGUAAAGCACUUUCAGCGGGGAGGAAGGCGGUGAGGUUAAUAACCUCACCGAUUGACGUUACCCGCAGAAGAAGCACCGGCUAACUCCGUGCCAGCAGCCGCGGUAAUACGGAGGGUGCAAGCGUUAAUCGGAAUUACUGGGCGUAAAGCGCACGCAGGCGGUCUGUCAAGUCGGAUGUGAAAUCCCCGGGCUCAACCUGGGAACUGCAUUCGAAACUGGCAGGCUAGAGUCUUGUAGAGGGGGGUAGAAUUCCAGGUGUAGCGGUGAAAUGCGUAGAGAUCUGGAGGAAUACCGGUGGCGAAGGCGGCCCCCUGGACAAAGACUGACGCUCAGGUGCGAAAGCGUGGGGAGCAAACAGGAUUAGAUACCCUGGUAGUCCACGCUGUAAACGAUGUCGAUUUGGAGGUUGUGCCCUUGAGGCGUGGCUUCCGGAGCUAACGCGUUAAAUCGACCGCCUGGGGAGUACGGCCGCAAGGUUAAAACUCAAAUGAAUUGACGGGGGCCCGCACAAGCGGUGGAGCAUGUGGUUUAAUUCGAUGCAACGCGAAGAACCUUACCUGGUCUUGACAUCCACAGAACUUUCCAGAGAUGGAUUGGUGCCUUCGGGAACUGUGAGACAGGUGCUGCAUGGCUGUCGUCAGCUCGUGUUGUGAAAUGUUGGGUUAAGUCCCGCAACGAGCGCAACCCUUAUCCUUUGUUGCCAGCGGUCCGGCCGGGAACUCAAAGGAGACUGCCAGUGAUAAACUGGAGGAAGGUGGGGAUGACGUCAAGUCAUCAUGGCCCUUACGACCAGGGCUACACACGUGCUACAAUGGCAUAUACAAAGAGAAGCGACCUCGCGAGAGCAAGCGGACCUCAUAAAGUAUGUCGUAGUCCGGAUUGGAGUCUGCAACUCGACUCCAUGAAGUCGGAAUCGCUAGUAAUCGUAGAUCAGAAUGCUACGGUGAAUACGUUCCCGGGCCUUGUACACACCGCCCGUCACACCAUGGGAGUGGGUUGCAAAAGAAGUAGGUAGCUUAACCUUCGGGAGGGCGCUUACCACUUUGUGAUUCAUGACUGGGGUGAAGUCGUAACAAGGUAACCGUAGGGGAACCUGCGGUUGGAUCACCUCCUUACCUUAAAGAA